rnacentral:rRNA from 1 species
UACGAAGGGGGCUAGCGUUGCUCGGAAUCACUGGGCGUAAAGGGUGCGUAGGCGGGUCUUUAAGUCAGGGGUGAAAUCCUGGAGCUCAACUCCAGAACUGCCUUUGAUACUGAAGAUCUUGAGUUCGGGAGAGGUGAGUGGAACUGCGAGUGUAGAGGUGAAAUUCGUAGAUAUUCGCAAGAACACCAGUGGCGAAGGCGGCUCACUGGCCCGAUACUGACGCUGAGGCACGAAAGCGUGGGGAGCCAACAGGG